AAAUUGAAGAGUUUGAUCAUGGCUCAGAUUGAACGCUGGCGGCAGGCCUAACACAUGCAAGUCGAACGGUAACAGGAAGCAGCUUGCUGCUUCGCUGACAAGUGGCGGACGGGUGAGUAAUGUCUGGGAAACUGCCUGAUGGAGGGGGAUAACUACUGGAAACGGU
rnacentral:rRNA from 1 species